GGUUUCAUUAAUUAUAUUUUGACUCUGCAGCAAUUCAUUCUGGGAUGUCUUUCUUUUACCGGAAAGUGGUAACUUAUGGAUUAUAAAUCAAUAAAUGCACAAGAUAUAUGCUAUCACUCUGCCGUUCAUUUCCAUUGCGUAUUGUGAUGAAUUCAUAUGCUAUGGUUCUUCCAUCAUCUUAUGAUCUAUUAUUACCUUCAUGUAAUUUUGAUUUGACUCAGAAUUUCACAAACUUUAAAGUAUAGAUUCAUUAAGGAAUAAUGAUUUAUGCCAACUUCCAGUUAUGUAAUCUUUUCCAUCAACAGGGGCGUUGCUGAUAAUUCUUUC
rnacentral:misc_RNA from 1 species